GUCACUGUGGUAGAACAGCAAAUAUACUGGACUGUGACUUAAAGGACAUGAGUUCAAAUCUCAUCUGAGUCA
rnacentral:tRNA from 1 species